GACGAACGCUGGCGGCGUGCCUAAUACAUGCAAGUAGAACGCUGAAGGAGGAGCUUGCUUCGCUGGAUGAGUUGCGAACGGGUGAGUAACGCGUAGGUAACCUGCCUGGUAGCGGGGGAUAACUAUUGGAAACGAUAGCUAAUACCGCAUAGAAUAGAUGUUGCAAUACAUUUGCUUAAAAAGUUCAAUUGCAUCACUACCAGAUGGACCUGCCUUGUAUUAGCUAGGUGGUGAGGUAACGGCGCACCAAGGGAACGAUACAUAGCCGACCUGAGAGGGGGAUCGGCCACACUGGGACGGAGACACGGCCCAGACUCCUACGGGAGGCAGCAGUAGGGAAUCUUCGGCAAGGGACGGAAGGCUGACCGAGCAACGCCGCGGGAGUGAAGAAGGUUGUCGGAUCGGAAAGCUCUGUUGUAAGAGAAGAACGAGUGUGAGAGUGGAAAGUUCACACUGUGACGGUAGCUGACCAGAAAGGGACGGCUAACUACGUG
rnacentral:rRNA from 1 species